UGCCAGACUCCUACGGGAGGCAGCAGUGAGGAAUAUUGGUCAAUGGGCGCAAGCCUGAACCAGCCAAGUCGCGUGAGGGAAGACGGCCCUACGGGUUGUAAACCUCUUUUGCCGGGGAGCAAGCCUGAGCACGUGUGCCCAGGCGGAGAGUACCCGGAGAAAAAGCAUCGGCUAACUCCGUGCCAGCAGCCGCGGUAAUACGGAAGGUCCGGGCGUUAUCCGGAUUUAUUGGGUUUAAAGGGAGCGUAGGCCGGUCUUUAAGCGUGCCGUGAAAUUUUGGGGCUCAACCAUGAGAGUGCGGCGCGAACUGGAGACCUUGAGUGCGCGGAAGGCAGGCGGAAUUCGUGGUGUAGCGGUGAAAUGCUUAGAUAUCACGAAGAACCCCGAUUGCGAAGGCAGCCUGCCGCAGCGUUACUGACGCUGAAGCUCGAAAGCGCGGGUAUCGAACAGGAUUAGAUACCCGAGUA
rnacentral:rRNA from 1 species